rnacentral:rRNA from 1 species
CCUACGUGCGGCAGCAGUGGGGAAUAUUGCGCAAUGGGCGAAAGCCUGACGCAGCGACGCCGCGUGAGGGAUGAAGGUCCUCGGAUCGUAAACCUCUGUCAGCAGGGAAGAACGGUCACUGUGCUAAUCAGCAGUGAAUUUAUGGUACCUGCAAAGGAAGCACCGGCUAACUCCGUGCCAGCAGCCGCGGUAAUACGGAGGGUGCGAGCGUUAAUCGGAAUUACUGGGCGUAAAGCGCUCGUAGGCGGUAUGUCAAGUCAAGGGUGAAAUCCCGGCGCUCAACGUGGGAACUGCCUUUGAAACUGGCGGACUAGAGUGUAUGAGAGGAUGGUGGAAUUCCAGGUGUAGCGGUGAAAUGCGUAGAUAUCUGGAAGAACAUCGGUGGCGAAGGCAACUAUCUGGCACAUAACUGACGCUGAGGAGCGAAAGCGUGGGUAGCAAACAGGAUUAGAUACCCCAGUAGUC